rnacentral:rRNA from 1 species
UACAGAGGUCCCAAGCGUUGUUCGGAUUCAUUGGGCGUAAAGGGUGCGUAGGUGGCGGGGUAAGUUGGAUGUGAAAUCUCGGGGCUCAACCCCGAAACUGCAUUCAAUACUGCUCUGCUCGAGUACUGGAGAGGAGAUCGGAAUUUACGGUGUAGCAGUGAAAUGCGUAGAUAUCGUAAGGAAGACCAGUGGCGAAGGCGGAUCUCUGGACAGUUCCUGACGCUGAGGCGCGAAGGCCAGGGGAGCAAACGGG